UUUAUACGUAGCAUGAGUUUUCGUGUUCAAUUUUAAUCGUCCGUCUUAUUUAAAAUAUUUUUAUGAUUAGUAUUUUUGUUAUUAUUAGAUGAUAAAAUAUAAAUAGUUUUUUUAUGUAUGACUUAUGUUUUUAAAUUUAUUUUAAAAUUUUUUUAAUAAAACAGACGAUUAAAUUUAAGCACGGAAAAUCAUGGCUGGAUUUAAA
rfam:Oryza glumipatula chromosome 1, whole genome shotgun sequence.